rnacentral:lncRNA from 1 species
UCAACCAUUAUCUAUGCCUGGUGUUAUGACAAAAAGUGAUUGAUUUUGGCAUCAAAAUUAAAGUGUUCGUCUGGUUCAACUUGUUCUUUGUACACCGUCCUUCAUUAUGACAAGCACAUAUAGCAAAAAUACUGUCUUCAAUAUGAACUGUUGAUUAUUGAUUAAACAGAUCACAUUUGGAUGGGCUGCAGUUUCUGCAUGUCUAACGGAUGGGAUCCUUCUGAGAAUGCUAGAGUAGGGAAUCAUGACACCGAGCCACUUCAGUCAUAGACCUUAUUCUUGCACUUUUUUUUCUUGCUGGCAAUUUUACAUAGCAGGUUGAGAAAGCUACUCUAUGCUAGUAUAGACUAUACACCAAUAAUUUUGAUAAUGAGUUCCAGGAUGUAUUUUUCUUCUUAUAUAUUUUCCUUCCUACCAUGAUACUAGUAAUUUAUAAGGGGUCUGUGUAGUUUGAAUGUAUUUGAAUAACUUUAGCUCUACUGUUUGAUUUGACCCAAAGAAGCGAAGAGGACGUAAAUAUUCCCAUUUAGAAGCCCAAAGUCAGUGAGAUGAAACCCAACAUCAAGAAAUUGAAGCAAAGUUACUUGUGGAUAAACAAAGCAUUAGUCUUUUGGAAAAAGACAACAGAAAUUGUACUUUGUUGAGAAGACUCCUAGAGCCAAAUAGUCACAGACUCAGAAUACACAGAGACAAGCAAAGAUGGUUCCAGCAAGCUCUAAGGACACAGACAUGUGAAAGAGGUGCUGAAGACACACGAGGACUGAUGCAUGGUAGAUGUCAUCCUGAUAUGGCUGGGCUUCUGGACUCACUGCCUCCUCCUUCUAGAACCCAGCACCUCCAAGGCUGGGAGAAGAGAAGUUUGGGGUCUAUGGGAAAUGACCUCUGGAAGUGGCUGUGACUGUUUCCAAAGACAAAUACAAUCUAGAUUCUCGAAACAAUGCAAAUGAAUAAAAAAUGUAAGUUUAGCAGUUAGUGAAACAUUAAGAUGAGAUACAGGAGUAAACACAUUUUUUUCCAUAAAAGUAGUGAAUGUUAAAUAAUGAAAUACAGUGGUAAAACAAUUACAGCCUGGAGGCUUUAAGAUGUAAAUCAAAAAUGGAGACCAGUGGUGUUAAUAUCAUAUGAGAGGAUUAAAUAUGAGCUGCUGGUCCAACUGUGUUCUGCAGGAAUUCAGGUAGAUGGAUGAGAGACAGGCUAUGAGUAAAGCAUUACCACAGCUGGGGGUGCAGUGUAUGGAAGCUCAUCCUAGCUAACACUUGGAGAAGAACUCACACAUUGCAAACAUAUCCGGUUAAAAACUGGCAUUUGCUGCAACUAAAAAAGGCAAGUGAUGGUCUAGGUGAACUGCCUUUUCUUUCUCUCCUUCCAAAGGACAAAA